GGACUCGAGAAAGAGGAGGCGGGCAGCAGGCAUGGAAGCUAAGGGGAUAGUAGAGAGAAGCUGAGAGAACAGCCGCAGGAAAGAUUUGAAUAAGAUGUCAGGACGCUGGCUUUUCUGCCUGGGGAUCUAGGCGGCCUGGAUUCCCAAGGUCUUGGGGAGGGUCUAGCCCUGCAUGUGGCCACAUUCAGCUGGGGCCAGGCCUUGGGCCAGCACUUUAACAGGGAAGGACCCAAGAGUCAUGGCCUGCUGGUGUCUGGAUGGGCUUCCCUCAGGCCUUGCUGAGCCAUGGAGAGAACUCUGGAGAUGGCGCUCAAGACCCCUGCACUGUGUACCUCCUUUCUCACCUCUGGCCAGGAGCAGCAGGGACCAUAGAAACUUAAGGAGGAGGGGGCUUUCUCUUUGGAAGGUGGCCUGAAAAUUGAAUUGGAGUGUCUUUGUUUCUCCUCUUGUCCAGGGGAACAUAGAUGGCUGAAGACAGAAUCUAGAGCCUUCAAAUAAUGUGGAGAUGUUUCCACCUUCAGGUUCCACUGGGCUGAUUCCCCCCUCCCACUUUCAAGCUCGGCCCCUUUCAACUCUGCCAAGAAUGGCUCCCACCUGGCUCUCAGACAUUCCCCUGGUCCAACCCCCAGGCCAUCAAGAUGUCUCAGAGAGGCGGCUAGACACCCAGAGACCUCAAGUGACCAUGUGGGAACGGGAUGUUUCCAGUG
rnacentral:sRNA from 1 species